rnacentral:rRNA from 1 species
CCUACGGGUGGCAGCAGUGAGGAAUAUUGGUCAAUGGCCGGGAGGCUGAACCAGCCAAGUCGCGUGAGGGAAGACGGCCCUACGGGUUGUAAACCUCUUUUGUCAGGGAGCAAGGUGCAGGUCGGGACCUGCUGUGAGAGUACCUGAAGAAAAAGCAUCGGCUAACUCCGUGCCAGCAGCCGCGGUAAUACGGAGGAUGCGAGCGUUAUCCGGAUUUAUUGGGUUUAAAGGGUGCGUAGGCGGGCUGUUAAGUCAGCGGUCAAAUGUCGGGGCUCAACCCCGGCCUGCCGUUGAAACUGGCGGCCUCGAGUGGGCGAGAAGUAUGCGGAAUGCGUGGUGUAGCGGUGAAAUGCAUAGAUAUCACGCAGAACUCCGAUUGUGAAGGCAGCAUACCGGCGCCCGACUGACGCUGAGGCACGAAAGCGUGGGUAUCGAACAGGAUUAGAUACCCGGGUAGUC